rnacentral:misc_RNA from 1 species
GAUGAUGAACGCAGCGAAAUGCGAUAAGUAGUGUGAAUUGCAGAAUUCAGUGAAUCAUCGAAUCUUUGAACGCACAUUGCGCCCCUUGGUAUUCCAUGGGGCAUGCCUGUUCGAGCGUCAUCUACACCCUCAAGCUCUGCUUGGUGUUGGGCGUCUGUCCCGCCCCCGCGCGUGGACUCGCCCCAAAUCCAUUGGCAGCGUUCCUUGCCCCCUCUCGCGCAGCACAUUGCGCUUCUCGAGGGCGGCUCCGGGACGCGAUCCAGCAAGAUGACCACCGUCUUUGACCUCGGAUCAGGUAGGGAUACCCGCUGAACUUAAGCAUAUCAAUAAGCGGAGGA